CAUAGAGUCAGUGAAGCCAGGUUGCCCAGCAACAUUGUUAUGCCUCAUGCCUCUGGCUCCUGGAUGUUACAUCAUAAAUGCUUAUGUGGCUCCAAUCACAUGGACACCACAACAGUUCUACCUCUAGUCCUACAAGGGUUCAGGUAUUCCAUACCUAAAAGUGAGAUCCAGUGCUGGUUUCAGGGAGCCAGGGCAGGGCUCCCUUCUAGCCCUGGAAGAUCUUCAAGCCACUGUUUGUCUUGACUCUGGGUGAUUCUAGGACAAAAACAGAGUUCGGCCCCAUUCUGACCCAGCGAAAGAAGGUGUAGAACUUUGGAACCAGGCCCCUCUCAUCUCUCUUACUCAUGCCCAGGUGUAAGACCAGGUGGCUUCUUUCCUAGGAAAAUGUAAGACAGGUGCCUGUUGAGGAGUCAGUUCCACAUCCAAAGGAAGUCCACGGCCCUACUGGGAUUUCUGGGAGCUCCAGACAACUUCUGCUUUGUGUUCACCUCUGGCCUCUGCUUCUGGGCUGCUGCCUCAGUGCUACACUGUUUCAACCCAGAUGGGAAAUGUAGACCCUUCCUCAAUUUCCACCCAAAGCCUUGUUUAUAGCCCUUAAGCACCAUUGUAGAAAAUGUCACAGAAGCUGGAGAUGGGGUGGAGCAAAAAAAUAGUUCCCCAUAUUACUGAGAUUCGAAAUCCUCCAACUGACCCAUCCUGCAUCUUAAAACAUCCUUCAACCACCACAUCACCCACAAGGAAAGUCGGUGGUCUUCAAGGGAAAGAGUCCUCAGUUUCACACUCCAUUUCACUGGCUCCUUACUCCCCUCUUCUCCUCCCACCCCUUUCUUAUUUCUUAGAUUACCUCUGGGAAUCCCAAAUCUUUGAAACCCAUUAUAGAGUCAUUUGAUUCCCCAGCAAAACUUGUCUCCUGAGGAGUGCACUCCAAAUCCACAAAUGAGCUCAGCACACCUUUUGGGGAGAUAAAAGAAAAAUGUUUUUCUCUUAUGUUAAAAAUGGCAACACGAAUUGAACACUUAUAAUAAUAAUAGUGAUAAUUACAGAGAAUUGACUGUGCUAGGCGCAGUAUUAAGCGUUUUAUCUGCCUCAUCCCAUUUAAAAGUCAAAAUGUCAAGAGUGUGGGCCCUGCCCCUCCACUCUGCCCAGGCCUGGUCCAGCCCCGAGCUGGCUGACCCCAUCACAGCCCACCUGGCCCGUCCACUCUAUGUUUCAACCCUGUAAAUGUCUGCCAGCUCAGAGGCCUUUGCUAUUUUGCCUUUCACUAGGGCAUCUAGCUAACCCAGGGUUUCUUAACCUCUGCACGAUUGCCAUUUGGAGCUGGAAAAUUCCUCAUUGUUGGGUAUGUCCUGUGCAUUGCAGGAGGUGAGACUGUGUUAAUAGAAGCUUCUUGUUUUUAAUAAUGUUCCCUGGAAGAAUAUAAAUUCAGUAACUUUUUUUCUUUACUAUUAAUGCUGGCUCAUAGAAACUCAAGAGUCUGAGAACCUUUGGCUCUGGCUUGAAAAUCUAUGAUUCUGGGUAUUUGAAGGAAGAAGGUACGUAGCCUGCCUGCUGACCUUUUAAUGAGCGUUAAAUGACAUCAUUGAAAUUGAGCUGCCCCAACAGCCUUCCUGGGAAGUAUCCAUUUCAAGGGUAAAGGUUGUUGAAUACAGGAAGAUGUUAAGACAAGCGUUCUCACCAACGAGAGAGAGGCAUGGAUCACUUCUGCUGCUAAACUCUGAGUCCCUCCUCGUGACCACCAAAUAGGAUGAGAAAGCUCAAGCAUGUGGAUAUGGAGAGUUUGGGAAAGCAUGAAUGCAGUCCACUACCAUGAAUUAUGCAGUCGAGUUUCCCACAUUUUGGGAAAUCACAGGGGUCAGCAUACCCAGAGUGCAGUGGGUAAGCCUCGCCCUGGAAAACCACCUUCGUGAUCAUGGUAUCUCUUCCACCAGCCAGAGGAACUGAAGAAUCAACAUGAGAAGAAAAAUGCAGUAGGACCCCUGGCUGAGUAUCUGUCUUCUGCUUAAUCUUCAGUUUCCCUGAGGAGACAGGGAGAAGAUGGGAUUCUCGGGGCAUGGAGAGAUGCCCCCCUGAGAUUUUCCCACCUGAGGUGUGCCAGUCCUCCUGAGAAGGCCACCUGAAAGAGUAAGUUCAUCACCCCAGGAGCAGGAAUCAAUGUGGGGAAAAGUAGAGACCAUGAGUUGGGGGUACUUUCUUGGCCGUUCCUGAUGGCCCUGUCCUUCCGGUGUGUCCCAGGAACCGGGUAACCUCUCUUGUGGCCUGCUUCAUAAUGCUUUGCCUACCUGUCUGGCUCCCCCACUGGUUGCUGGGCUCCUCGAGGAACUGAAUCUUUUUCUGUUUUUGUUCCAUACCUAGCAACUGGCAUUUCCAUGAUAAGCAUUUAAUACAAAUUGAUUAAAGGAAAUGAAUACAUGAGCCUUGUUAAUUUACGUUCUGCUUUAGACCCAAACAUUUUGAGGCCGAAUCGUGUUGCUUAGAAGUAGACGAAUGAGACUAAAUGAAGGAUGUUGUUCACACUGCCGUAUACGUUAGUAGAUCCUCAGUUGUGACUUAUUGAAUGGGUGCUUAUAAAUGUCUCCCAGUUAAUGCUCCGCUAUUUAUAUGUAGCACAAUUUAUUUCUCAGUGGCAUCGAUUUUGUAACAAAGUAGCACUUUGAGGCAGCAUUUACACAUAUCUAUCUAGUUAUUCCAGUGAGGCAAAGAUCUUCCAAUUACCAUUCUCUAUGCACAUAAGAGUAUAUACUUCUGCCCUUCCAUCAAAGAUAGGACAUAGGCUUUUUUGUCCCAUCCCUGACCCUUGUAGGUCAGGACAACUUGUUCCCCUAUUAUGUGUAUGUGUGUGUGUGUUCAGGAAACAAAGGCUAAACGACUUUCAGCAAAGGCAGUUGAGGUUCCUGUAUCUCCUCCUGCAUAAUGAGUCCUGCCAGUUAGGCUGCACGAGGGUGAGAAAGGUGACAGCUUGCCAGCACGGUCUGUGGCAUUUGGAUAAACAAACAUCAAUAUUUAUCAGAGCUGCUCCAGUGUGCUUCCUUGGCUGCUGGAACAGGGAGCCCUCCCUGUGCUUAUAUACAGUUUUCUCUGUAUGAGAUAAACGUUUGUGGUCAUUAAGGGGGAAAAAAAUGUUUGUACUCUUCUCCCCAGUUACCUAGGCUAAUUUACUGUACUAGGAGGCCUCGUAAUUCAUUAAUGAUAUACAAAUACAAACCAAGGGAAGAAAUUGCCUUGUUAAUUGACUUUUGCGAUGCUAAUCUAAGACUCACUGGCUUUAAACAUUGCCCAGCAACUGUACUUGUACCACACACACUUAUGGAAAAGCAGCAAGCCACCCAAUGCAGAUGUUUGAGAUCAGUGACUCUGGCCUUUGUAACUAGACACUCACCUCCAUCAGUUUUCCUUAGGAAUCUGGAGGGGGAGGAAACGAGGAAAAGAGACAAAGAGCUGGGAACAGACUCAACCAUCCUAGAAGAGAGCCCAGACAUACUAAAAGUAAAGGCCAGGCUGUGUGGGACCAUGCUAGGCCAUGCUGGGCCUUGCCGGGUUGUGUGGGGUGUGGCCAGGCUGCCUACCCCAGCCCAGAUGGCUGCAAAACUUGAUUAGAAACAGUACCACUAGGCGCAGCUGACUGGUCCAAUUAGGAGCAAAGGUCAUUAAUCUUAAGAAACGAAUCUUCUCCGCUGACAACCCUAGGCAAGGCUUCUGUCCUUCCUCUCUGAUCAUUGCCAACGGAGAAGACAGGGAACUUUUGUCAGUUAUUACAACGAACUGGGAAGUUGCAGAGUUGCGUGCUGAGGUUUCCCAGGUCAGCCUUGAUGGUCAGAUGGAUCUGGAUUUAAAAUCUUGUUCGUUCUCUCUCCCCCUGUGACUGCCAGUCACCUACCCCGACCAUUCUGGAGCUGGAAUUUCAAGUUCAUGAUUGUGAUUUCCUUUGAGUCUGCAGUGGGGCCACCUAGAUGACAAAUCUUGCUCCUCCUUGCAGAAGCCACACACCCAUGGCAUGAGGAGCCAUGUAGAUUUUACUGCAGAUUCCAUAGGAGAAGCAAAGGGGAGACGACUUCACGCCCCACAGCACUCAGCCUGAAUCCUCCUGCUUGAUUUUUCUAUUCUCCCGAAGGUCCUCUUUGAUUGCUUUUGCCCCUGGGACUUUUCC